rnacentral:lncRNA from 1 species
UACCCCAAGAUCAGAUUAAGGCCUAGAGCAACCAGUAAGCUCGAGCUCUCUCGGCUUGAGAGAGAGAAACCCGACGACCCGCAAGGCAGCCCGGCGACAACUCCGGUGUCCGGCCACCGAUCGACGAUGCAAGGCCACCAAUCUCUUCCUCUCAUCGUCGCCGUCACGCUUGUGGCCUCAGAUCGUCCAUGCACCCGACGAGGAUGAAGAAUCGACGUUGAGAAUGUCCAACUGCUCCGGCGAGUCUCUGCAAAAUCCGGUGACUCCGGCCACCUUCUGAGCCGCAAGUGGUAUGAAAAUCGACCCCCUCGUCAUGCUUUACACGUUUGUAUACUUAGUUUUGGAAUUGGAUUAUGUUUUGACAAUUUCGUAUCGGGGUUCCUCUCGGUUCCGACGCUGUCACCGACGUCGGUGACUCCUCCGGCACCUCUCGCCUUGGCUUCCGUCUA